rnacentral:rRNA from 1 species
UACGUAGGUGGCAAGCGUUAUCCGGAAUUACUGGGCGUAAAGCGCACGCAGGCGGCUUAGUAAGUUUGACGUGAAAGCUCCUGGCUUAACUGGGAGAGGUCGUUGAAGACUGCUAAGCUUGAGGUGAUGAGAGGGGUGUGGAAUUCCCGGUGUAGUGGUGGAAUGCGUAGAGAUCGGGAGGAACACCAGUGGCGAAAGCGGCACCCUGGCAUUAACCUGACGCUCAUGUGCGAAAGCGUGGGGAGCGAACGGG